rnacentral:rRNA from 1 species
AUGGUUCUAGAGAACAACAGUAGCUUGGCUGGUACUAAUUAUCUGUGGAUGGUUCCGGAGAACAACAGUAGCUUCGCUGGUACUGUAGCUAGAACUGUAGCAGCGAACCCGAGCAUUUCCAACCAUUGGAUGGACCCUAUCAAUGGUUCAGGUUGCUUCCUGGUCAUGAGAUUCGAAAUUUCAAAACGGGUACACUAUAUAUAUAUAUAUAUAUAUAUAUAUAUAUAUAUAUAUAUAUAUAUAUCACGGGUACUUGAGCAACACAGGAACUACAAAUUGAACAAACACGACUAUGCAGCAAGUGCAGUACUCAAGUGA